rnacentral:piRNA from 1 species
AUGGAUAUAAAAUAAACUCAAACAAG